UCCCGGGUUGGAGGCUGCUGAUGCAGGUCGGCGCCCAGGUGCUGGGUCAAGUCGGGGAUGGCCUGGGUGCUGCCCUGGGCCCGGGGAACAGAACACACAUCUGGCUUUUUGUUAGAAGUCUUCAUGGAAAGAGUGGUACGUGGUGGGAUGAGCAUCUUUCUGAAGAAAAUGUCCCAUUCAUUAAGCAGUUGGUCUCUGAUGAAGAUAAAACCCAAUUAGCAAGUAAACUGUGUCCUCUGAAAGAUGAACCAUGGCCUAUGCAUCCUUGGGAACCAGGUUCCUUUAGAGUUGGCCUUGAAGCUGGGCAUGAUGCCUUUAUGGACCAAGGAUGGUCAAAAGCACGUGGUCACAUUACUUCAGGUACAAGACUGUCAUGUCCUAAAAUAUACUUCAAAGGAAAGCCGUAAUGGAAAAACGGCAGCCCUGUCUGUAGGAGGCAAACUGUAUCACGUUUUCAUAAAGCUACACCUGUAUUGGAAUUUUACCGAGAACUUGGAUUGCCGUCAAAACAGACAGUUAUAAUCUUUAAUGUAACAGAUAAUGCUGCAAUUAAACCAGGCACUCCUCUUUAUGCUGCUCACUUUUGUCCAGGACAGUAUGUGGAUGUCACAGCCAAAACUAUUGGUAAAGGUUUUCAAGGUGUCAUGAAAAGAUGGGGAUUUAAAGGCCAGCCUGCUACACAUGGUCAAACGAAAACCCACAGGAGACCUGGAGAUAUUUCAACUGGUGACAUUGGCAGAGUCUGGCCUGGAACUAAAAUGCCUGGAAAAAUGGGAAACAUAUAUAGAACAGUAUAUGGACUGAAAGUGUGGAGAAUAAACACAAAGCACAACAUAAUCUAUGUAAAUGGCUCUGUACCUGGACAUAAAAAUUGCUUAGUAAGGGUCAGAGAUUCUAAACUGCCUGCAUAUAAGGAUCUCGGUAAAAAUCUACCAUUCCCUACGUAUUUUCCUGAUGGAGAUGAAGAGGAACUACCGGAAGAUUUGUAUGAUGAAAACGUGUGUCAGCCUAGUGUGCCUUCUAUUAUGUUUGC
rnacentral:lncRNA from 1 species